AGGGGAGAGGGUUAGACCUCGGGACGAGGUACCUCGGGUGGUACGAGAGGGGGCAGCGGCGCACAUGGCUUGGGGGUGCUAGGGUUUUCUGAAAUGUUUUAGUUUUGGGGCCAUUAGAGUUUUGGGAAUUUGGGCCAUAUUGGGUUAUUGAGCUGUAUUUUAUUUUUAUUUUUAUUUUUUUGGAUGUAUUUUGGGUCUUAGGCCCGGGCAAAAAUGAGUCAUUACAUGUACUCGAAAAUAUAUCCUUUUUUUUCUUUAAUUUUAUCCCUGGUCUAAGCAAGGAACUUACCCACUCUUCAGUGCUGAUAGUGAAAC
rnacentral:lncRNA from 1 species